rnacentral:rRNA from 1 species
CCUACGGGGGGCAGCAGUGAGGAAUAUUGGUCAAUGGACGAGAGUCUGAACCAGCCAAGUAGCGUGAAGGAUGACUGCCCUAUGGGUUGUAAACUUCUUUUAUAUGGGAAUAAAAUGUUCCACGUGUGGGAUUUUGUAUGUACCAUAUGAAUAAGGAUCGGCUAACUCCGUGCCAGCAGCCGCGGUAAUACGGAGGAUCCGAGCGUUAUCCGGAUUUAUUGGGUUUAAAGGGAGCGUAGGUGGAUUGUUAAGUCAGUUGUGAAAGUUUGCGGCUCAACCGUAAAAUUGCAGUUGAAACUGGCAGUCUUGAGUACAGUAGAGGUGGGCGGAAUUCGUGGUGUAGCGGUGAAAUGCUUAGAUAUCACGAAGAACUCCGAUUGCGAAGGCAGUUCACUGGACUGCAACUGACACUGAGGCUCGAAAGUGUGGGUAUCAAACAGGAUUAGAUACCCCUAUAGUC